rnacentral:misc_RNA from 1 species
GUUCGCCGACGCCCAUACACUGUCGUCCUUUUUGACGAGAUAGAGAAGGCCCAUCCCGAUGUCUUCAACAUGAUGCUCCAGAUUCUUGAAGAUGGCAGGUUGACUGACAGCAAGGGGCGCACAGUCGAUUUCAAGAACACCCUUCUGAUCAUGACAUCCAACGUCGGAAGCAGUGUGAUUGAGAAAGGCGGGCGUAGAAUCGGGUUCGAUCUCGACUACGACGAGAAAGACAGCAGCUACAACAGAAUCAAGAGCUUGGUGACGGAAGAGCUGAAACAGUACUUCAGGCCUGAGUUUUUGAACAGACUGGAUGAAAUGAUUGUCUUCAGGCAGCUGACAAAGCUGGAGGUGAAGGACAUUGCCGAUAUCAUGCUGAAGGAGGUCUUCGAGAGGCUGAAGGUGAAGGAGAUAGAGCUUCAGGUCACCGAGAGGUUCAGAGAUAGGGUCGUCGAUGAAGGCUACAGUCCUAGUUACGGAGCGAGGCCCCUGAGGAGAGCGAUUAUGAGGCUUCUGGAAGACAGUUUGGCCGAGAAGAUGCUUGCUGGAGAGAUCAAGGAGGGGGACUCAGCGAUCGUCGACGUUGAUGCUGAUGGAAAUGUGACAGUUCUCAAUGGUGAGAGCGGGAUGCCAGGAGUAUUACCCCCGGCUGUUACUGUAUAACAGGUUUCACUCGAUAUAUCUAGGCGCUAGACUCGACUUGUAUCGUCAUGGAUUGUAGCCUUAACUAUUUCCGGUGGCUGCCAGGUGAUUAAUUGGUUAUUUUGUUGUAAUAUGCGGCCUGCAGGAAAUGCACCUCAUGCACAUACAAGCUAGAAGAACUAGAAGAACAGAUGCUAUUGUUGUGUAUUUUAAUUAU